ensembl:lncRNA
GGGAGUGCCACUAAGAAAACUCUGAGGUGAACGUACCAGCUCUAAAUAGCUGCUGAUGUCCUUUAUCAGCAAAGGAAGUUUGACCAGGAAACUAAAACAGUUAAAGUGUCGCAGAAGAGAAGGAGAGGAUGUUAAAAUCACCGUUCUCUGUGUUUCUCUUCUGUUUGUUGCGACAUCUGGACUGUACAGUGGGAGAAACAUUUCAUCACUGAUCCAGGUGACGUCUUCGGUCUCAGCUGACUGCAGAUUUCCCCAACCUUAUAAACAGUGGAUUGGCAUAAUGACUGAAACCAGCCCACUGAAUCUAAGGAGCUUGGGAGAGACUGGACUUCUUUAAGUUGCUUGAAGACAUUUCACCUGUCAUCCAAGAAGCUUCUUCAGUUCUACGAUCAAUUGGUCGAGGGUCCCAGAUUUAAGCCCUAGGGGAGUGUCCCCCCAAGAGGGACAUGGACCCCCUAAUGAUCCUCUACCUAAUCAAACAAGCCGAGGUCAAACAGAUGUCGGUCACAAGAAACGUAAAGAAGUCCAGCCACUUUUCUUUCCACGCUCCUUAGACUAAGGCUACGUCCACACUAGCCCGGAUAGAUUUGAAAACAGCGUUUUCGUCUGAAAACGCUCUGCAUCCACACUAGCGUUUUCAGUCGUUUUCACAGAGUUGCGCGUCCACAUUGAAAGCGCUUAUGUUCCAGUACUGCGCAUGCGUGAAACGCAAGAAGAUUAGGCCUGCCUCAUUUCUGUCUGCCGUUUAUUUACUUUGCGACUGUUGAAAAGUCUCUUUGAAAAGCACCGAGUUUUUUAAAUGGACUAACAAUGAGGUGGAGUUGUUUCUGCAAGUAACACAAAAGUACAAAGUUGCAAAAGUGAGUGAGAAUUAAAGAAUUUGAAGAAAAGCUCUCUGGAGCACGUACAGACUAAUAUUAAUCUUUAACAGGGCUGUCAAACAAAACAACUGCUGUAUAAUGCCCUCCACUAUCUUAGUUUAAUUGGUCACAUGACUGCAUCAUAUGACUAAAAUGUGUGGGCUUAAUGGAGCUCACAGAUUCUGCUUCAAGGAACAUCAUCAUCAUCAGUGUGUUUCAUGUAACGUGGUCUGAGUGUUGUUUGACUGAGUGUUCAGGUUUGAGUCCAAACAGGUUAAAAAGGCCACUCUGCUGGUUCUGUGUUCAUGUCCAACACAAAGCUCACAUAACUGCUGAAAGCUGUUUCUUUCUCUCCUCAGUUUCCCAGCAUGCAUCUAGGGUGCAGGUGUAUGAGGGGGCGGAGUUUGUCCUGCUGCCCUGUCAGGUACCAGCUGAUGUUUCCAGUGACUCCACAGCUGUGGUGUGGAACCGUGAUGAGUUCACGAUCCCAAUGGUCCACAAGCGUGUGCAGAGCAGUGACGAUCUUACAAACCAAAACCUUCGUUACCUCGGUUGAACAUCAAUGAGAGCCACCGCUCUGCAGACUGGAGACCUCAGCCUCACUCUGAGGAACCCCACAGUCUCUGACAGUGGAACCUAUACCUGCACCGCCCGCAAGACUGGAGACAAUCUGAAGGAGAUCCAUGUGCAGCUGAAGGUCUCAGAACCUCCUCCCCGCUGGCCCAUAGCUGUGGCAUUCGUGGUUCCUGUGCUCCUCCUGGCUGUUAUCUUUGGUGCCCUCGUGUACCAUGCAAAUAAUAAAGUAAAGAACAGAGCAGUCUCCAUGCUGAAAGCAGAGAAGGUGACAGAGGGGGCGGAGUAUAUCAAACUGCUCUGGGAUAAGAGUGAAGUUCCGCCUGCUGCUGUCAGAGUGAAGUGGACACGUCUACAACCCAAACAUGGACAGAUCUGUGAGUGUGUGAAGGAUCAGACGGGUCAGUGGAAGCUCGAGUCUGGUCCUGUUUAUAAAGGUCGUGUACAGAUGGAUCAGCUGACUGAAGGAGACUUCACCCUGACUCUGAUGAAGCCUCGCUGUGAAGAUGGAGGUGUUUACUUGUUUGUCGUCUACGGCCAGGAUGGAAAACCCCUUAAACUGACAAUAGUGGCACUGUGGGUCAAAGAGACCUGGUGGAAAAUCAUCACAGGCUUGUCUGAGAGGAGAACCCUCGACACUGAAGAAAAGAUUAUAGGUCCAGGGUGGUGCUGCUCCAGGGGAGGAGAUGCCCUGCUGUUGCCUGGGACAUGAUCUGGCUACCCUUUUUCUUUCAGACAGGAAUCUGAGUUUGAUGAGUUGACGCAUGAGAGUGUCCAUGCGUCAAGUGGUGGGGUCCAGAAUUAACACUAAACAAUGUUUACUAUUAUUGUUGCAGUGAGUUGUGUGAUUAACCGUUUAUUUACAUGUUCAGAUGAGGCUUUGAUGGCCUAUAAGUGAAGUUCACUGAACUAAAGAAUGUGGUUUGAUGAUUGUUGACAUGCUCUCCAAAUAGAAGUUUUUCUGAAAUACAGGUGCAGCAGUGAGACGCGAGAAACAUUCCAGGCAUAGCGGACAGCCCAGGCAGUGGUUGAGGUCAAAGGUCAAGCUGGUUGGGGCCCAUCAUGAGAUCAGACCUUGGAGCCACAGCAAGGACCAUUUCAACUGCCUGCAAAAUAGCGAGAGACCCUCCUGGAUUUAUCAGAGCCACUGCAAAGAGGUCGAGGUCCCAGGAAACCCCGGCACCCCCAAGACAGCACAAUAGAGAAAUCUCACACUUGGUUGUUUCAGUGGUGAGGGGGGAGUGCUGAUUGAGCCCCCGUAGGGUAAGCUCGCACUUCAACCUCCAGCCUCUGAUCAACUCUAGGGCAACCAAGUGCGAGGCGUGACGCACCUGUGUGCAACCAUGGGAAGGUGGACCCUCUUGGUUACCUUGACUACGACGCUCACCUUUACAGGACCCCAGCUGGUGCCGGAAUCAGCUGAACCAGGAGGAAGGCAGAGAGGAUGGACACAUGACAACUCUCACCUAAGAGACAUGAUGCAAGACCACAUCCCUCCAUGGAUGAAUAAUGCCUGGUACCGUUAUAUCCACGACAGAACAAAGGCAGAAUCGGCAAAUACAGACUAUUAUGUCUGUUCCCAUCUACCCAGCACGGCAACAUACCCCACACUAUAUAUGUUCCUGGACCAACUCUCAGGGAAGAACUACUCUAUGAUAUUAGCAGAGAAAGGGGACUUUGUGUCCUCUUCAACAACACAUGCUGCAUUUACAUAAAGAAGACGCACAUUCAUCAAACAUGACUGACGCCCUGAAUGUUUUGAGACAGAUCCAGCAGGCCCAAAAUCAGGACUAUCCAUGACGAAAAGGAGUGCCUGAGAGGAUCGUCCACAAGAUGGGAGCUGAGGCCAGGAGAGAGACUUCAGGAGGAUCAGAGAUCAUCUUCAGCACAGCAGACAUCACACAGAGAGCUGUGCUACUGAGCUUCCAGGAGAUCAAGAGGAGACUUCCCACAGCAAGAUUUUAAAUACAAUGAAAGAUUCAAUGUUGACGCUGAGGAAGACAACUAAGGUGUACGACGUGCUCUGCCUUAAACCUUCAGCAGCGUUGGAAGGAGUCUAAGGAUGACAUCAUGAUUCUGUGAAAAGCACAGGAACCAGAAGCUAUGGUGGUGAUAACAGCAGUUUCCUAUGAGGUCUGCAGCUUUGGAAAUAGCUGAGACCCAUGUUGACAAACAACAAAACUAACUGGUAUGUUUGAAUGUCUAUUCUACAUACAUUUGGACUCUGGUCCUAUGGACAGUGAUGGAAACAACUGGAAGAGACAUUUAUGACACCCUGCAGAACUCAAACCACUCUGCAGAGAGACAUGUGAUUGCACACCCGGAGGAAGCAUCACCAAGAUGGGAUGUUUUUGAAAAUGUUAUCUUCUUAUUUUCACUAUUAAAUUAACAAUUUCUUUGUUUGUUUGUAGGAUGCAGUUUGCCAUGAGAUGAGCUCAAUGGGGAAUGGGAUAUCCGCUAAUACCUUUGUUAAACUCUGUACUUUUACAGUGAUUUAGGGUGAUUUGACGUAUGCUGAGUAUAACAAUGUUGGCAUUGAAACUGUCAGACAUGAGGUAUUCAUAACUGGAAACUUUUCUAGCAUAAAGGUCAAUAAAGGGGGGAAUGUUAGGUUUUGUAUUGUUGAUUGUCAUUUAUGCUUAGAAACAUUUACUCAUAUAUGCUUAGAAGUGUAUAAUCAAUUGUAGAUUGAAAGAAUGUCUCAUCCUAGGAGGUCUGUAACAACUCUGUGUAGCAUGAAGAGGGGAGUGCGUUCACUCCUCUACAGAGUGUGUUCUGGCAUAGAUCACACCCCCUAGGAGAGGUUUUAUCUUUUCUUGAUAUAUGGUAUAGCAAACACAUGUAUAUCUGUUUGAGUGUAAGAGCCUUUUGUUUAGAUGGACCUGUUAGACUCCUGGCACCAGCUUUGGGGAGUCUUCACAGGGUCACAUCUUGACCUCACACACACAGUAUUCUUUGUUCACAUGUAUACCUAUGUAAGAUGUUAUAUGUUAAUGACCCAAUGCAUAUUCAUGUCACCACAAUAAAAGGAGUGCUCUGGGGAGUCUGGCUGAGAGUCUGACGGAGGUCAAGUGGUGGGACGACACUUGGCUCCAGCCAGAUCUCCCUCAUGCAUGAGUGAACCAG